rnacentral:rRNA from 1 species
CCUACGGGGUGCAGCAGUGGGGAAUAUUGGACAAUGGGCGAAAGCCUGAUCCAGCAACGCCGCGUGAGGGAUGACGGCCUUCGGGUUGUAAACCUCUUUCAGCAGGGACGGAGCGAAAGUGACGGAACCUGCAGAAGAAGGACCGGCCAACUACGUGCCAGCAGCCGCGGUAAUACGUAGGGUCCGAGCGUUGUCCGGAAUUAUUGGGCGUAAAGGGCUCGUAGGCGGUUUGUCGCGUCGGGAGUGAAAACUCAGGGCUCAACCCUGAGCGUGCUCCCGAUACGGGCAGACUAGAGGUAUGCAGGGGAGAACGGAAUUCCUGGUGUAGCGGUGGAAUGCGCAGAUAUCAGGAGGAACACCGGUGGCGAAGGCGGUUCUCUGGGCAUGACCUGACGCUGAGGAGCGAAAGCAUGGGGAGCGAACAGGAUUAGAUACCCGUGUAGUC